UAAGACUCAAAGUCUCAUUGUUGACGGUGAGAUUAGAGAGCUAGACCAUGGUUUCAAGUCUGAGACAGCUAGCCAGUUACUGGCUGACAUUAAAGCUUCGCCCAAAGACUUAUUUCAGUCUAAACAAGCUAAAAGAAAUUCCUAUUCUAGAGUUUCACAGUAUUGAUUCUUUGUAGCACAGUACUGUCAGAGUGAAAUAUAAAGCAAGAAAUGCAGCUCCUACAAGGCAAAUCACUAAACCAUUUUGGCCUCAUUUUAUGUUUAAGUUUAUGAGAUUGAGGACCUGCUGCUACUAAAUUCCCACUAUUGUCAAUACUUAAAAAAAUUCUGUAGAGCAUGUAAACAAAAUUCCUUGAUUAAAGAAUUUCAACAAGCUUACACUCAUUACUGUCUGUCUUUCUUCCCUCUCUCACUUCUUUGAGGUGUAGCGCUCCUGGGAUGAAAUGAAAAGCUGCUUUAUUCUGUUCAUCACCUGUUUCCCACUACUCCUGUUUCUCUCCGAUCUCCUCACACUGUCUAUCUGCAAUACGUUUACGGGCAUGGAUCCACAAGGGGGGGUGGAGAGCACAAUUUAGGCAUGCAGGCUGAUGGGGCAACAUUUGAGAAAUGUGCCAAGACCCUCAGUAGGCAAUCUUCACCUAUUCAGAGAAGAAGAAGUGUUAGGAGCUUGAAAGUGCUAGGAAGCCGUAAUGAACUCUCGAACGCUGCUGGAUGGUCGAUCCAUUAGAGACUUUGGGGUUGAGAUGAAUCACCUUAUCCAACCUGCCUUCCCCUACAGAGCAGCCAGGGAGAUCCAUCAUACUCAGCACAGGAGGAGAGCCACGGAUCAGAACCGACACUAGAACACCAAGAUGCUGUACUUAAGAGAACAACACAACACUUCUAAGGAUUUCAAGCAUUUGACACAUUCAAAGUGUCUGGUAAUACUACGAUCAGAAGUUUUAUGAUAGUAAUACAAUGCAAUGUAAGCUGCAGGAGUAACCUCUAAAGCUUUUGGAUAUCCAGCAGGUAGCUACAAAUGGAUAGAACAUUAGUUGAAUGUAAGCAUGAAAACAACACAUGGAAGAACUGAAUUAAUAUCAUGUGUGUGUGUAUAUAUAUAUAUAUAUAUAUAUAUAUAUAUAUAUAUAUUAAAAAAAUGUGCUGUCACAUUCUAAAAAUAAACAGUGGUUUAAGCAGUUAGAGUACUUUCAUCAAGCAGCCUCUCAGCCAUUGAUGUGUAUAUCUACAGUUUGUGCUCCAGGUUGCUAAGCAACAAUAAUGAUAGUGACCUUUUGAAAUAUCACUGGGAUAUGCUCCCCCUGGUUUGGAGACCAUGAGCACCCGGUUCUCAGGUAGAUCAACUUAUGUAUCAGACUUUUUGAUUAUACAGUAUACUAAAUACAAAAUGUUUGCAUGUGUAGCAAUAGCCAAUAGAAUGCACGUUACUGAACUGUUAUUAGUGCACAUGUGAGGUGGUGUACAAAUAUAUUAGCACAUAUAUUAAAUAUUUUAGCAGUAAUAAUUUAGAAUCUUUUUUUUAAUCAUUUUCUUAUAUAUUUACAAUUUAAAUGUACACUACCACUACAACU